rnacentral:rRNA from 1 species
CACGUAGGGUGCAAGCGUUAAUCGGAAUUACUGGGCGUAAAGCGUGCGCAGGCGGUUCUAUAAGACAGAUGUGAAAUCCCCGGGCUCAACCUGGGAACUGCAUUUGUGACUGUAGAGCUGGAGUGCGGCAGAGGGGGAUGGAAUUCCGCGUGUAGCAGUGAAAUGCGUAGAUAUGCGGAGGAACACCGAUGGCGAAGGCAAUCCCCUGGGCCUGCACUGACGCUCAUGCACGAAAGCGUGGGGAGCAAACAGG